AUUGAACGCUGGCGGCAGGCCUAACACAUGCAAGUCGAACGCAUCCUUCGGGGUGAGUGGCAGACGGGUGAGUAACACGUGGGAACGUACCUUUUUGUUCGGAAUAACUCAGGGAAACUUGAGCUAAUACCGGAUACGCCCUUAGGGGGAAAGAUUUAUCGCAGAAAGAUCGGCCCGCGUCUGAUUAGCUAGUUGGUGAGGUAAAGGCUCACCAAGGCGACGAUCAGUAGCUGGUCUGAGAGGAUGAUCAGCCACACUGGGACUGAGACACGGCCCAGACUCCUACGGGAGGCAGCAGUGGGGAAUAUUGGACAAUGGGCGCAAGCCUGAUCCAGCCAUGCCGCGUGAGUGAUGAAGGCCCUAGGGUUGUAAAGCUCUUUCGGCGGGGACGAUAAUGACGGUACCCGCAGAAGAAGCCCCGGCUAACUUCGUGCCAGCCGCCGCGGUAACAC
rnacentral:rRNA from 1 species